AGAACGAACGCUGGCGGCGUGGAUAAGACAUGCAAGUCGAACGGGAUUAUUUUGUAGCAAUACAGAAAUAAUUCAGUGGCGAACGGGUGCGUAACACGUGAGAAACCUGCCCCGGAGACCGGGAUAACUCGAGGAAACUCGAGCUAAUACCGGAUACCCCCACCGAACCGCAUGAUUUGGUGAGGAAAUGCUCCGACGCUCCGGGAGGGUCUCGCGGCCUAUCAGCUAGUUGGUGAGGUAAUGGCUCACCAAGGCUAAGACGGGUAGCUGGUCUGAGAGGACGAUCAGCCACACUGGGACUGAGACACGGCCCAGACUCCUACGGGAGGCAGCAGUGGGGAAUCUUGCGCAAUGGGCGAAAGCCUGACGCAGCAACGCCGCGUGGGGGAUGAAGGCUCUCGGGUUGUAAACCCCUUUCAGGAGGGACGAAAAUGACGGUACCUCCAGAAGAAGCCCGGCCAACUACGUGCCAGCAGCCGC
rnacentral:rRNA from 1 species